rnacentral:lncRNA from 1 species
GGGGGCUGCUCCCUCUCCAGUUUCCUUCCUUGCAGAGAUGGGAUCAGGCAGAGUGGGAGGGGCCACAGGUAUCCACAAAGGCUUGGUUUAACUACCCAGUCCCCUACUGAUGCGAAGCCCAUGGCCAUCGCUUGUGGGAGGCAGCACAGGCUGGAGGCUGGAGGUAUCCAUCAAGUCUCCACAUACAGCGUCAGCGCAGCCCAAUACCAGGGGUACCCAGUCCUAGGCUAUCCCUGAAGAUCUCAACCUUUGAGACCUUCCAGAAAGGGGGCCCAGCCCCAGCAGCCUCUCCCCUCAUCACUUUUUACCCUGUUUGCUUGGAGUUCUUUUCAUCCACUCCAGGAGUGCCCAUCCCUGGUAACUGAUGGUUCAGCCUUUGCAGAGGCCUUGUGGGUACUCCCUCAGAGUCACUGCCUGGCUUGCUUCAGCAGCUCGGGGGAGGGGCCCUGUGCUUGAAACAACAGCCUCAUCCCAGCUUCCAGCCCCACAGCCUAGAUCUAAGACAUGCCAAGACUUUCCAUGAAAUCCAACCGGGACUUUUAAUCUGUACACUUCCCCAUAAUGUACUUUGUUUCUCCUAAAUAACCCCCAUGCGGCUCCACCCCACCCACUAGAUUUCACCCGCUCUGUGUUCCGCUGUCCUCUUUGGGGGCCCAAAAAGGCUGGAACAGGGAGGUGUCCAAGAUCCUUCCAAGACCCCUCCCAGAGUCUGUGCCUCACGAGCCACCCUUUCUGGAUUCCAGGCCAAGAGCUCGCAAGAUGCCAAGGGAGAGGAAGGCUCGGCCGCCCUAGACCAGCCCACGCCCCCAAAGGAGGCCACCCCGACCCACCGCGCCCCAGACCCCCCCGAACCCCUGGGGUCUCCACCGCUCUCCACCGCCUGCCUCCCUUGGGAGGCCCGAGGGAGAAGAGGAGGGGGCGGCCCAGCCUGAGGAGCACUCGGUAAGGAUCCGCAUGAGCCCAGGCCCGGAGCCCGGCGAGCAGAUCCUGUCGGUGGAGAUGCCGGAGGAAAAGGAGGAGAAGGUGGAGUAAGGUGUGGUGAGGCGGCUCCCACGCGCAGUUCCGGCAGGUGUGCCCCCAAUGCCCGCUGCGCCCCUGCGCCCCAGCUUCCCCCACGGCCCAAGAGGAGAUGUUUUUCCGCAGUCGUGGCCUCAGUGGCUGCAGCUCUGACCGCCCUGCCAGCACACCAGCCCCGACUCAGCUCCUCGCGGGCUGGGCCUGAGCUCGACACAUUUCAUCAAGUGUUCCAGUCCCUGAGCUCUCAGUAUCAGUUGAGAGCCCUGCCUUUUCCUGACUGUUCCUUUUUUUAAGAACAAAAUGAUGUUCCACUUUUAAAGUUCAUGGGUGGGGGAUAAAAUGAGGCUCCAAUAUAUGGGAAGCUUUGUUGAAAAAGUAAAGGGUUAUUGAAUGUGUGGGGUUUCCCCUCAGGAAUUUGUCUAACACAUUUCAAGGAUAGAAAAUACUUCACGGCCGGGCAUGGUGGCUCAUGCCUAUAAUCCCAGUGCUUUGGGAAGUCGAAGGAGGAGGAUCACUGGAGGCCAAGAGUUGGAGAGCAGACUGGGCAACAUAGCGAGACCCCAUCUCAAACAAAAACAAAACAAAACAAAAUAGGCAGGUGUGGUGGUGUGCACCUGUAGUCCCAGCUACUGGAGAGGUUGAGGCAGGAGGAUGGCUUGAGCCCAGGAGUUUCUAGCUGUGGUGAGCUGGACACAGUGAGACCUUGUCUCAAAGAACUAAAAGAUAGCCAGGCACAGUGGUUCACAUCUGCAAUCCCAGCACGUUGGGAAGCUGAGAUGGGAGGAUUGUUUGAGACCAGGAGUUCAAGAUCAGCCUGGGCAACGUGUUGAGACCCCAUCUCUACAAAACAGUAGCAGAAACAAAAGCAAACAACAACGUACACAAACAAAGAAACAAAGAAAGGAGGGCAGCCGAGCUGUUCAGCUGAGAAUUGCCUGGUUCUGAGCUGAGCUUGGGACACUGUUUUCUUUUGCGGGCAAUCACACUAGGGGGCUGGAUGCCCAUUAGGGUAGUUAGUGCUUAUCUUCCUCAGACUCUAUUCAAUUCCAGUGCAAUGCCAUUAUCUCAGAACAGAUAGAAGGGAAAUGGACUUACUGGCCAGGGACUGCUAGCGUUUCUGCCUCUGCCAGGAGGACAGCCCGGUAGGAGCAUCCUCUGCCUAUCAUCCUGAGAAACCCCAUUCGCCAGCAGGGAUCAGUCCGUUACUCACUUUUGACACUCUUGCUGUAGAGAUGGUGGCAGCAACUUCAAUUAAUCCUAGAAAAUGAAAUCUCCCAGCUGAUGACAGCACUUACAUUCCCUAAAGCUUUCCAGAUCAUGUCAUGUUGCUUUUAUGAUUCAGACAAAAAAAAAAAAAAAAAAAA